ACGGGUGAGUAACACGUAGGCAACCUGCCCUCAAGUUUGGGACAACUACCGGAAACGGUAGCUAAUACCGAAUAGUUGUUUUCUUCGCCUGAAGGAAACUGGAAAGACGGAGCAAUCUGUCACUUGGGGAUGGGCCUGCGGCGCAUUAGCUAGUUGGUGGGGUAACGGCUCACCAAGGCGACGAUGCGUAGCCGACCUGAGAGGGUGAUCGGCCACACUGGGACUGAGACACGGCCCAGACUCCUACGGGAGGCAGCAGUAGGGAAUCUUCCGCAAUGGGCGAAAGCCUGACGGAGCAAUGCCGCGUGAGUGAUGAAGGUUUUCGGAUCGUAAAGCUCUGUUGCCAGGGAAGAACGCUUGGGAGAGUAACUGCUCUCAAGGUGACGGUACCUGAGAAGAAAGCCCCGGCUAACUACGUGCUAGCAGCCGCGGUAAUACGUAGGGGGCAAGCGUUGUCCGGAAUUAUUGGGCGUAAAGCGCGCGCAGGCGGUCAUUUAAGUCUGGUGUUUAAUCCCGGGGCUCAACCCCGGAUCGCACUGGAAACUGGGUGACUUGAGUGCAGAAGAGGAGAGUGGAA
rnacentral:rRNA from 1 species